UCACUGGUGGUCCAGUGGUUAAGACUCUGCACUCCCAAUGGAGGGAUCACAGAUUUGAUUCCUGUUUCGGGAA
rnacentral:tRNA from 1 species